rnacentral:rRNA from 1 species
AUUGAACGCUGGCGGCAGGCCUAACACAUGCAAGUCGAGCGGUAGAGAGAAGCUUGCUUCUCUUGAGAGCGGCGGACGGGUGAGUAAUGCCUAGGAAUCUGCCUGGUAGUGGGGGAUAACGUUCGGAAACGGACGCUAAUGCCGCAUACGUCCUACGGGAGAAAGCAGGGGACCUUCGGGACUGGCGCUAUCAGAUGAGCCUAGGUCGGAUGAGCUAGUUGGUGGGGUAAUGGCUCACCAAGGCGACGAUCCGUAACUGGUCUGAGAGGAUGAUCAGUCACACUGGAACUGAGACACGGUCCAGACUCCUACGGGAGGCAGCAGUGGGGAAUAUUGGACAAUGGGCGAAAGCCUGAUCCAGCCAUGCCGCGUGUGUGAAGAAGGUCUUCGGAUUGUAAAGCACUUUAAGUUGGGAGGAAGGGCAGUAAAUUAAUACUUUGCUGUUUUGACGUUACCGACAGAAUAAGCACCGGCUAACUCUGUGCCAGCCGCCGCAGUAA